ACUAUUUUGACAGAUUUAUGUGUUAGAUUUAGAAUCUAUUUAUGUGAUUUUUCACAAUUAGUA
rnacentral:tRNA from 1 species